rnacentral:rRNA from 1 species
CUACGGGUCGCUGCAGUGGGGAAUCUUAGACAAUGGGCGCAAGCCUGAUCUAGCCAUGCCGCGUGAGUGACGAAGGCCUUAGGGUCGUAAAGCUCUUUCGCUGGGGAAGAUAAUGACGGUACCCAGUAAAGAAACCCCGGCUAACUCCGUGCCAGCAGCCGCGGUAAUACGGAGGGGGUUAGCGUUGUUCGGAAUUACUGGGCGUAAAGCGCGCGUAGGCGGAUCAGAAAGUUGGGGGUGAAAUCCCGGGGCUCAACCCCGGAACUGCCUUCAAAACUCCUGGUCUUGAGUUCGAGGGAGGUGAGUGGAAUUCCGAGUGUAGAGGUGAAAUUCGUAGAUAUUCGGAGGAACACCAGUGGCGAAGGCGGCUCACUGGCUCGAUACUGACGCUGAGGUGCGAAAGCGUGGGGAGCAAACAGGAUUAGAUACCCGCGUAGUC